rnacentral:lncRNA from 1 species
GGUAAUCAGGAUGGCAGUGAGGCAGGCACUUGCUUGCAGAAGAACAGGCCUAGUUUUUUAAGAAGCCACAAAAGUGUCUUUGGAUGAUUAGGAUCUAAGGGGCCAACAGCUUUGCAAUAACAGCAUAAAUAUUGUGGGCUGGAUGGACAGGCACCAAAUGGGGACAUUCCAUCCUGCUGUGUGAUGAGAAAGCUGCCACUUUUGAGGCCUUCCAAAACAAAUCAACACUCCAUAUGCCAGAAGGAAAAGCCCAGGAAAGACCUAUUCCAACUGGAGAUGGUGAAUGUCAUUUCUUCAAGAAGCUGAGAUCCAGCUGGUACUGCCAGGUGGAGAGAAUACGAAGGGAGAAUGAAACAAAACUGCUCCGCUUAGGGAACUUGGAAAGGAAAUUGAAAAGGCAAGGCACAGGCUGGAAGAAAAUAUUUGAAAAAGAUUUAUGUGAACUUCUUUCUGGAUUAUACAAAAUAUUUUUAGAUAUUCUUACAACUCUAAAAUAAGAUAACUCCUUAAAAAUCUAAAUUCUACCAAAGGAGAGAUAAAGAUGACGAAUACAUUCAAAGAUGCUGAAAAUCACUUAUUUAUUAUUAGGAAGUUACAAGCUAAAGCAUAAUGAGAUACCACUACAACCUACUAAACUGACUAAAAUUAAUCAGACUAACCAGGUGUUGGCAAGAAACAGGGACACUGAGACUCUCACACUGCUGGAAGGAAUGUAAAAUGCUAAAACUUCUUUGGAAAUGAGUUCAGUAACUUUUUAAACAGUUGAAAAUAGACCUAUCAUGCAAACCAGCAAUCCCACUUCCAGGUAUUUAUACAAGGAAAAUGACAACAUAUGCCCACAUAAAGACUUGUGCACAAAUGACCGUAGCAGCUUUGUGAUAAUUGCUAAAAACUAGAAACUUGUCAAGUGUCCAACAGGUGAGUGGACAAACUCACUAUAGUAUAUCCAUACAAUUAAGUACUAAAUAGCAAUAAAAAGGAACUAUUAAUACAUUUGACAAUAUGGAUGUAAAUUAUAAUGCUAUGCUGAGAUAAAGAACCCAAAGAUUUUAUACAUAUGAUUCAAUUUCUAUAAACCGUUAGAAAAUGAAAACUAA